rnacentral:rRNA from 1 species
GAGUUUGAUCCUGGCUCAGAACGAACGCUGGCGGCGUGCUUAACACAUGCAAGUCAGGGAGAAAGUCUCUUCGGGGAUGAUUAAACCGGCGCACGGGUGAGUAACACGUGAGUGACCUGCCUUUUAGACUGGAACAACUUACCGAAAGGUGAGCUAAUGCCGGAUGAGUUAUAUAAGUGCAUGUUUAUAUAGGAAAAGUUGGGGAGACCUGACGCUGAAAGAUGGUCUCGCGUCCCAUUAGCUAGUUGGUAGGGUAAUGGCCUACCAAGGCGACGAUGGGUAGCCGGCCUGAGAGGGUGGCCGGCCACACUGGGACUGAGACACGGCCCAGACUCCUACGGGAGGCAGCAGUGGGGAAUUUUGCGCAAUGCUUGUAAGAGUGACGCAGCGACGCCGCGUGAAUGACGAAGGCCUUCGGGUCGUAAAGUUCUUUCGACAGGGAAGAAAAUGCCUAUAAGUAACUGUGUAUGUAUUGACGGUACCUGUAUAAGCAGCCCCGGCUAACUCCGUGCCAGCAGCCGCGGUAAUACGGAGGGGGCGAGCGUUGUUCGGAGUGACUGGGCGUAAAGAGCACGUAGGCGGUGUUGUAAGUCAUUAGUCAAAGACUAGAGCUCAACUUUAGUAAGGCUAGUGAUACUAUAAUACUAGAGUAUCAGAGAGGAUUGCAGAAUUCCUGGUGUAGCGGUGAAAUGCGUAGAUAUCAGGAGGAAUACCGUUAGCGAAGGCGGCAAUCUGGCU